AAGCUAUCCUAUAGAGGCGAUUGAAUUUGGCGGCCUCGAAUUCCCCCUUCGCCGCCGCGGUAAUACGGAGGGCGCUAGCGUUAUCCGGAUUCACUGGGUUAAAGGGGGCGUAGGCGGGUGGGUAAUUCAGUGGUGAAAUCCUGGAGCUCACCUCCAAAACUGCCAUUGAUACUAUCUGUCUGGAAUAUUGUGGAAGUAAGCGGAAUAUGCCCCGUAACGGUGAAAUGCUUACUUAUCACCUUAAUCUCCCAUUGCCAAGGCAGCUUACUCCGCUCAGAUUGACACUUAGGCGAGAAAGCCUGGAGAUCAAACGGGAUUAAAUACCCUGGUAAUCCACUCCCUAUCCGAUGGAUACUCGCCCUCCCCGAAACACUGUGUGUGUGUAAGGGAAAAUUUUAAGCAUCCCACCUGGGUAGUACCUUCACAAGAAUGAAUUUCAAAUGAAUUGGCGGGGGAGCACUU
rnacentral:rRNA from 1 species